rnacentral:rRNA from 1 species
UACGGAGGGGGCUAGCGUUGUUCGGAAUUACUGGGCGUAAAGCGCACGUAGGCGGCUUUGUAAGUUAGAGGUGAAAGCCCGGGGCUCAACCCCGGAACUGCCUUUAAGACUGCAUCGCUUGAAUCCAGGAGAGGUGAGUGGAAUUCCGAGUGUAGAGGUGAAAUUCGUAGAUAUUCGGAAGAACACCAGUGGCGAAGGCGGCUCACUGGACUGGUAUUGACGCUGAUGUGCGAAAGCGUGGGGAGCAAACAGG